AGGAGAAUAGUUAACUAUAACAUUUAAGUUGCAAUUAAAAAGUACAUAUUUGUUUCUCUUA
rnacentral:tRNA from 1 species